AUUGAACGCUGGCGGCAUGCCUUACACAUGCAAGUCGAACGGUAACGCGGGGCAACCUGGCGACGAGUGGCGAACGGGUGAGUAAUGUAUCGGAACGUGCCCAGUAGUGGGGGAUAGCCCGGCGAAAGCCGGAUUAAUACCGCAUACGACCUGAGGGUGAAAGCGGGGGAUCGCAAGACCUCGCGCUAUUGGAGCGGCCGAUAUCCGAUUAGCUAGUCGGUGGGGUAAAGGCCUACCAAGGCGACGAGCUGUAGCUGGUCUGAGAGGACGACCAGCCUCACUGGGACUGAGACCCGGGCAAGAAUCCUACGGGAGGCAGCAGUGGGGAAUAUUGCGCAAUGGAGGAAACUCUGACGCAGCGACGCCGCGUGGGUGAUGAAGGCCUUCGGGUUGUAAAGCCCUGUCGACUGGGAAAAGGGGUUAUCGUGCUAACACCACGGCAAUUUGAUUGUACCAGUAGAGGAAGCACCGGCUAACUCUGUGCCAGCAGCCGCCGUAAGAC
rnacentral:rRNA from 1 species